rnacentral:lncRNA from 1 species
CAAAUAUCAAAUUUCAAAUUUUAAAUUUCAACUUUCAAAUUUCCACUUUCAAAACUCAACUUUCAAAUUUCAACUUACAAAAAGUUCAAAUUUCAAAUUCAAAAUUUCAAAAUGUUCAAAUUUCAAUUUUCAAAUUAUAAUUUAAUUUUUUAUUUUUAAUUUCCAAUUUUCAAAAAUUUAAAUUUGAACUUAAAUUUUUAAUUUUUAAUUUAUAAAUAUGUAAAUUUAUAAACUAUUAAAUUUAAGAUUUAAAAUUUUAAUUAUAGUUUUUUCUUUAAUUUCAAAUUUUAAAGUAUAAAUGAUAUACUUUAAAUUUUAAAAUUUAACGUUUAAAAUUUCAAAUUUAAAACAUACAACCUAAUUUAAUUUUUUAAUUUUAAAUUUUUAAUUUUAAUUUUAUAUUUUGAGAUUUGAAUUUUAAUUUUUAAAAAUUUGUUUUUAAAUUUUGAAUUUUGAAUUUUGAAUUUUAAUUUUUAAAAUUGUAGAAAUUUAAUUGUUAUAAAUACUGUGAAAUUGUAUGAUCUGUAUCCAAACAGCUUAAACAUUAAACUGUGGAAUUUUUUUGUAGUUAUAAAAUUUCGUAUUUCAUUUAGACCAAAAUGAUAGAAUAAAAAUUUUCUGAAGUUUUUUAACUAUGUAUCCAAAUAGGGCCUU